GACGAACGCUGGCGGCGUGCUUAACUCAUGCAAGUCGAUCGAUGAAGCUAGAGCUUGCUCUGGUGAAUUAGUGGCGAACGGGUGAGUAACACGUGAGUAACCUGCCCCGAACUCUGGGAUAACUGCUGGAAACGGUAGCUAAUACUGGAUACGACCUACGAAGGCAUCUUCUGUAGGUGGAAAGAAUUUCGGUUCGGGAUGGACUCGCGGCCUAUCAGCUUGUUGGUGAGGUAAUGGCUCACCAAGGCGACGACGGGUAGCCGGCCUGAGAGGGUGACCGGCCACACUGGGACUGAGACACGGCCCAGACUCCUACGGGAGGCAGCAGUGGGGAAUAUUGCACAAUGGGCGCAAGCCUGAUGCAGCAACGCCGCGUGAGGGAUGACGGCCUUCGGGUUGUAAACCUCUUUUAGUAGGGAAGAAGCGAAAGUGACGGUACCUGCAGAAAAAGCACCGGCUAACUACGUGCCAGCCGCCGCAGUAA
rnacentral:rRNA from 1 species